rnacentral:rRNA from 1 species
UACGUAGGUGGCAAGCGUUGUCCGGAUUUACUGGGCGUAAAGAGCGCGCAGGCGGUCGUUCAAGUCGCGUGUGAAAGCCCCCGGCUCAACUGGGGAGGGUCACGCGAUACUGAUCGACUCGAAGGCAGGAGAGGGUAGUGGAAUUCCCGGUGUAGUGGUGAAAUGCGUAGAUAUCGGGAGGAACACCAGUGGCGAAGGCGACUACCUGGCCUGUUCUUGACGCUGAGGCGCGAAAGCUAGGGGAGCAAACGGGGAUUAAGAAACCCGGG